rnacentral:rRNA from 5 species
AGAGUUUGAUCAUGGCUCAGAUUGAACGCUGGCGGCAGGCCUAACACAUGCAAGUCGAACGGUAACAGGAAGCAGCUUGCUGCUUUGCUGACGAGUGGCGGACGGGUGAGUAAUGUCUGGGAAACUGCCUGAUGGAGGGGGAUAACUACUGGAAACGGUGGCUAAUACCGCAUAACGUCGCAAGACCAAAGAGGGGGACCUUCGGGCCUCUUGCCAUCAGAUGUGCCCAGAUGGGAUUAGCUAGUUGGUGAGGUAACGGCUCACCAAGGCGACGAUCCCUAGCUGGUCUGAGAGGAUGACCAGCCACACUGGAACUGAGACACGGUCCAGACUCCUACGGGAGGCAGCAGUGGGGAAUAUUGCACAAUGGGCGCAAGCCUGAUGCAGCCAUGCCGCGUGUAUGAAGAAGGCCUUCGGGUUGUAAAGUACUUUCAGCGGGGAGGAAGGUGUUGUGGUUAAUAACCGCAGCAAUUGACGUUACCCGCAGAAGAAGCACCGGCUAACUCCGUGCCAGCAGCCGCGGUAAUACGGAGGGUGCAAGCGUUAAUCGGAAUUACUGGGCGUAAAGCGCACGCAGGCGGUCUGUCAAGUCGGAUGUGAAAUCCCCGGGCUCAACCUGGGAACUGCAUUCGAAACUGGCAGGCUUGAGUCUUGUAGAGGGGGGUAGAAUUCCAGGUGUAGCGGUGAAAUGCGUAGAGAUCUGGAGGAAUACCGGUGGCGAAGGCGGCCCCCUGGACAAAGACUGACGCUCAGGUGCGAAAGCGUGGGGAGCAAACAGGAUUAGAUACCCUGGUAGUCCACGCCGUAAACGAUGUCUACUUGGAGGUUGUGCCCUUGAGGCGUGGCUUCCGGAGCUAACGCGUUAAGUAGACCGCCUGGGGAGUACGGCCGCAAGGUUAAAACUCAAAUGAAUUGACGGGGGCCCGCACAAGCGGUGGAGCAUGUGGUUUAAUUCGAUGCAACGCGAAGAACCUUACCUGGUCUUGACAUCCACAGAAGAAUCCAGAGAUGGAUUUGUGCCUUCGGGAACUGUGAGACAGGUGCUGCAUGGCUGUCGUCAGCUCGUGUUGUGAAAUGUUGGGUUAAGUCCCGCAACGAGCGCAACCCUUAUCCUUUGUUGCCAGCGGUCCGGCCGGGAACUCAAAGGAGACUGCCAGUGAUAAACUGGAGGAAGGUGGGGAUGACGUCAAGUCAUCAUGGCCCUUACGACCAGGGCUACACACGUGCUACAAUGGCGCAUACAAAGAGAAGCGACCUCGCGAGAGCAAGCGGACCUCAUAAAGUGCGUCGUAGUCCGGAUUGGAGUCUGCAACUCGACUCCAUGAAGUCGGAAUCGCUAGUAAUCGUGGAUCAGAAUGCCACGGUGAAUACGUUCCCGGGCCUUGUACACACCGCCCGUCACACCAUGGGAGUGGGUUGCAAAAGAAGUAGGUAGCUUAACCUUCGGGAGGGCGCUUACCACUUUGUGAUUCAUGACUGGGGUGAAGUCGUAACAAGGUAACCGUAGGGGAACCUGCGGUUG